CCUANGGGUGGCAGCAGUGGGGAAUAUUGCGCAAUGAGCGAAAGCUUGACGCAGCGACACCGCGUGCGGGAUGAAGGCCUUCGGGUUGUAAACCGCUUUCGGCAGGGACGAAGCGAAAGUGACGGUACCUGCAGAAGAAGCUCCGGCUAACUACGUGCCAGCAGCCGCGGUAAGACGUAGGGAGCGAGCGUUAUCCGGAUUCAUUGGGCGUAAAGCGCACGCAGGCGGCCAAGUAAGUCGGGUGUGAAAUCCCGGGGCUCAACCCCGGGCGUGCAUCCGAAACUGCUUGGCUAGAGGUAGGCAGGGGAGAUCGGAAUUCCUGGUGUAGCGGUGAAAUGCGCAGAUAUCAGGAGGAACACCGGUGGCGAAGGCGGAUCUCUGGGCCUUACCUGACGCUCAGGUGCGAAAGCUAGGGGAGCGAACAGGAUUAGAUACCCCANUANUC
rnacentral:rRNA from 1 species